rnacentral:rRNA from 1 species
ACGAACGCUGGCGGCGUGCUUAACACAUGCAAGUCGCACGGAAAGGCCCUGCUUGCAGGGUACUCGAGUGGCGAACGGGUGAGUAACACGUGGGUGAUCUGCCCUGCACUUCGGGAUAAGCCUGGGAAACUGGGUCUAAUACCGGAUAGGAGCCAUUUUUAGUGUGAUGGUUGGAAAGUUUUUUCGGUGUAGGAUGAGCUCGCGGCCUAUCAGCUUGUUGGUGGGGUAAUGGCCUACCAAGGCGGCGACGGGUAGCCGGCCUGAGAGGGUGGACGGCCACAUUGGGACUGAGAUACGGCCCAGACUCCUACGGGAGGCAGCAGUGGGGAAUAUUGCACAAUGGGCGCAAGCCUGAUGCAGCGACGCCGCGUGGGGGAUGACGGCCUUCGGGUUGUAAACGCCUUUCGCUAGGGACGAAGCUUUUUGUGACGGUACCUAGAUAAGAAGCACCGGCUAACUACGUG